GAUGAACGCUGGCGGCGUGCCUAAUACAUGCAAGUCGAGCGAACAGACGAGGAGCUUGCUCCUCUGACGUUAGCGGCGGACGGGUGAGUAACACGUGGAUAACCUACCUAUAAGACUGGGAUAACUUCGGGAAACCGGAGCUAAUACCGGAUAAUAUAUUGAACCGCAUGGUUCAAUAGUGAAAGACGGUUUUGCUGUCACUUAUAGAUGGAUCCGCGCCGCAUUAGCUAGUUGGUAGGGUAACGGCUUACCAAGGCGACGAUGCGUAGCCGACCUGAGAGGGUGAUCGGCGACCCUGGAACUGAGACACGGUCCAGACUCCUACGGGAGGCAGCAGUAGGGAAUCUUCCGCAGUGGGCGAAAGCCUGACGGAGCAACGGCGCGCGAGUGAUGAAGGUCUUCGGAUCGUAAAACUCUGUUAUUAGGGAAGAACAAAUGUGUAAGUAACUAUGCACGUCUUGACGGUACCUAGUCAGAAAGCCACGGCUAACUACGUG
rnacentral:rRNA from 1 species